rnacentral:tRNA from 1 species
GGGAAUGUGGCUUAGUGGUAGAGUGCUUGCCUAGUAUGCAAAAAGCCUUGGGUUCAAUUCCUCAGUACCA